GUGCUUGCUUCGGCAGCAUGUAUACUAAAAUUAGAACAAUACUGAGAAGAUUAACAUGGCCCCUGCGCAAAGAUGACACACUAAAGCUAUCUAGUAUCACAGAAACUUUUU